UAGCCUUACUAUCAUCUGUUUCUCAUUUUACACAUGCAAGUCUCAGCACCCCAGUGAGAACGCCCUUUUAACCUACACCAGGAGAAGGAGCUGGCAUCAGGCACAAUCCCUGCCCAUAACACCUAGUCUCACCACACCCCCAAGGGUAAUCAGCAGUGAUAAAUCUUAAAUAUAAGCGACAGCUUGAUUUAGUUAGAGAAAAGAGGGCCGGCUAACCCGGUGCCAGCCGCCGCGGCUACACCGUGGGGCCCGAGCUGAUAGUCACCGGCGUUAAGCGUGAUUAAAGCCCUCAACAAUUAGGGUUAAAUUAAUAUUUAGUAGUGAUAAGCUUGUUAUUAAGAAAACCAUAAACGAAAGUUACCCUAAUUACACUUGAAUCCACGACAACUGGGAAAACAAACUGGGAUUAGAUACCCC
rnacentral:rRNA from 1 species